rnacentral:rRNA from 1 species
UCCUGGCUCAGGACGAACGCUGGCGGCGUGCCUAAUACAUGCAAGUCGAGCGGACAGAUGGGAGCUUGCUCCCUGAUGUUAGCGGCGGACGGGUGAGUAACACGUGGGUAACCUGCCUGUAAGACUGGGAUAACUCCGGGAAACCGGGGCUAAUACCGGAUGCUUGUUUGAACCGCAUGGUUCAAACAUACGAAGGUGGCUUCGGCUACCACUUACAGAUGGACCCGCGGCGCAUUAGCUAGUUGGUGAGGUAAUGGCUCACCAAGGCAACGAUGCGUAGCCGACCUGAGAGGGUGAUCGGCCACACUGGGACUGAGACACGGCCCAGACUCCUACGGGAGGCAGCAGUAGGGAAUCUUCCGCAAUGGACGAAAGUCUGACGGAGCAACGCCGCGUGAGUGAUGAAGGUUUUCGGAUCGUAAAGCUCUGUUGUUAGGGAAGAACAAGUACCGUUCGAAUAGGGCGGUACCUUGACGGUACCUAACCAGAAAGCCACGGCUAACUACGUGCCA